rnacentral:rRNA from 1 species
AGCGAACGCUGGCGGCAGGCCUAACACAUGCAAGUCGAACGAACUCUUCGGAGUUAGUGGCGGACGGGUGAGUAACACGUGGGAACGUGCCUUUUGGUUCGGAAUAACUCAGGGAAACUUGUGCUAAUACCGAAUGUGCCCUUCGGGGGAAAGAUUUAUCGCCAUUAGAGCGGCCCGCGUCUGAUUAGCUAGUUGGUGAGGUAACGGCUCACCAAGGCGACGAUCAGUAGCUGGUCUGAGAGGAUGACCAGCCACACUGGGACUGAGACACGGCCCAGACUACUACGGGAGGCAGCAGUGGGGAAUCUUGCGCAAUGGGCGAAAGCCUGACGCAGCCAUGCCGCGUGAAUGAUGAAGGUCUUAGGAUUGUAAAAUUCUUUAACCGGGGACGAUAAUGACGGUACCCGGAGAAGAAGCCCCGGCUAACUUCGUG